rnacentral:lncRNA from 1 species
AUUUUUAAGUUCAGUUGUUUACUUUUUGUUGAUGUUAACUUCCUUACUGAGUUUUGAGAGUUCCCUAUAUAUUCUGGAUAUGAACCUUUUCUGAUUCCUGACUAUUUUCUCUGAGUAUGUGGUUUCUCUUUUCAUUCUCAGAAUGGUCUGCCUGGGGUUGGGGGAGGGGUGAUGCAAACGCUCCUUUAGUUGCCCUGGCUGUUGUCUCACUAGGUCACAUGCCCCUCAAGAGCACUAGCUCUGAGCCCAGCAUAGCACUAGGACUUGCCUUGGAGUUGCAGUCCUUGUGGCCUAGAUAGUGUUUCGAGUUUAUUUAGGACCGCAGAGCACUUUAACUCACAUUGGCAAGGCUUGCUGAAACUCAAGUUCUGACUACUGGGAUGGGUGAUUCCCCUCUGGCUAGGACUGGUCUAAAUGAUCCCUCCAGUGGGUUGAGUUCUUCCUGGUGUUGUUGGUACUGCUUUUCAAUGCAAAGUUCCACAGUCAUUGCACUUUACUUCCCCCAAGUGCACAGAUUCUCUCUCUGCACCACAUGGCUGGCCGUUACUGGGGGAUUGGGGGAGAAUGGUAUUGGCAAUUUAUAAAUGUCUUUCCUAC